rnacentral:rRNA from 1 species
GACGAACGCUGGCGGCGUGCUUAACACAUGCAAGUCGAACGGUAAGGCCCUUCGGGGUACACGAGUGGCGAACGGGUGAGUAACACGUGGGUGAUCUGCCCUGCACUUCGGGAUAAGCCUGGGAAACUGGGUCUAAUACCGGAUAGGACCACUGCCUGCAUGGGUGGUGGUGGAAAGCUUUUGCGGUGUGGGAUGGGCCCGCGGCCUAUCAGCUUGUUGGUGGGGUGAUGGCCUACCAAGGCGACGACGGGUAGCCGGCCUGGGAGGGUGACCGGCCACACUGGGGCGGAGAUACGGCCCAGACUCCUACGGGAGGCAGCAGUGGGGAAUAUUGCACAAUGGGCGCAAGCCGGAUGCAGCGACGCCGCGUGAGGGAUGACGGCCUUCGGGUUGUAAACCUCUUUCAGCACCGACGAAGCGCAAGUGACGGUAGGUGCAGAAGAAGGACCGGCCAACUACGUGCCAGCCGCCGCAGUAA